UACAGAGGUCCCAAGCGUUGUUCGGAAUCACUGGGCGUAAAGGGUGCGUAGGCGGGUCUUUAAGUCAGGGGUGAAAUCCUGGAGCUCAACUCCAGAACUGCCUUUGAUACUGAAGAUCUUGAGUUCGGGAGAGGUGAGUGGAACUGCGAGUGUAGAGGUGAAAUUCGUAGAUAUUCGCAAGAACACCAGUGGCGAAGGCGGCUCACUGGCCCGAUACUGACGCUGAGGCACGAAAGCGUGGGGAGCAAACAGG
rnacentral:rRNA from 1 species